rnacentral:rRNA from 1 species
GACAGAGGGGGCAAGCGUUGCUCGGAAUUACUGGGCGUAAAGGGCGCGUAGGCGGAAUGGCAAGUCGGUCGUGAAAUCCUUCGGCUCAACCGAAGAACGUCGAUCGAAACUGCCGUUCUUGAGGAUUGCAGAGGAGACUGGAAUUCCCGGUGUAGCGGUGAAAUGCGUAGAUAUCUGGAGGAACACCGGUGGCGAAGGCGGCAUCCUGGACCGGUAUUGACACUGAGGCGCGAAAGCCAGGGGAGCAAACGGG